CAGCUAUAGUGGGAAUCCGAUUAUCAUACAGGGAUCACAGUCGUCAUGGAAACCGAGGACGGCGCAUGGUGUUGAGCCACCCCUUACACAUCCUAGAACAUUGGGAAUUAGUGUGAAAAUUCAGCUCCCUUACAAAAAAAGAAGCAAAAAAAAAAAAGACACGCGUCCUCCAGCACCGGGCCGUGUUUGGGUUUUACAGCCUGCCCGUGUGACGUGCAACCUGUUCCUUUGGAAGAAAACACCCUCACAUGGUGCAAUGCAUAUCUUUACACGAGGCAUCGUGCGUCUCUCGUUGAAGGCGGCGCUGUUUUUAAGAGUUAUAACAGUGUCUCUGAGGUACUAUGAAUACAUUUCUGCAGGAGAAAUGUGGAUACAAUUUAAAUCCUGAUAAGUUUCUUGUCUUUCCUGCAGGAUCCUGACCCCAAACACGUGGGACGGAUCCCCUUUUCCACCCAUUGAUGCCACACGUUUCCUCAUAGGAGAGACUCUGCUUGCAAAAUUAGUGACAUCCCCGUGAGAAAAAGCGAUUUCCAUAUAUCUAUACUCGGGACGUAUAUUUAUACACGCAUACAGAACACCCACGCUGCAAGGUCAGGCUCCCUCCUCGGUGCCAGUCGGCCUCACCGGAGCGUGGCGCCGGGCCGGAGUGAUUGACGGGCCGCAGGAGAAAAGGCAGGCGGCGGGGGGGGCGCAGAAGGAAGUGCACAUGGACAGACGCUGAUGUGACUGGUGCGUUCAGGGGAGGGAACACAGUGGGCUCUCAAGGCGCCUUUGAGCUCACUAAAAGCUCUUAAACCUUCAGCGGGUGAACACGCAGAGUACGACGUGACGCCCCGUUUUGUUUCCAGUCCUACGAGCCGCCGUUAACGUUGACCUGCCGACGGAGACAUUGGACAGAUUGAUGAAAGUCUAUUAAAACUAGAAAACGCCGAUAUGCAACAGUGAUUUCUGAAUACGGAGUCUGGAUGGCAAUAUUUUUCUUCCUGUCAUCAAAUCCCUCAAAGAGCCCGAAUCCAACCUCGCGUUCGUCAGACUCCUUUUGACUUUCCGCGCCCGUCUGUUGCUCUCAGUCUGAACCCGGCUCUGUCCUUCAGAUGAUAUCUUUCAAAAGCAAUCACAAAGAUACAGAUUUAUAUUUGGUAAAAAAGGCUCAGUAGUUCCCGACAACAGCCGGGCCUUUUUUCCUACUCCAAAAAUGGCCUUUGAUGGGGUCUAUUUUCAGAGGUUUAAUGCACAUUUGGUGCUUUAGAAAGUAUUCCGGCAGCAGGAAGGGGGACGUGGGACGGAAAAUAAGUUGAUUGCGAUGAAGGACGAGGAAUCACGUCACGCAGUCAUCAUUUAGUCCAUCAAAUGUCCAAUCCAAGAACCCCAAACACAUGGAUCUUUUAUUUAUAGUCACACAAAACAAAAGGGAGACGUCACGUUUUAGAAUGUGGAACCAGCCAACUCCAUUCAUUCUCUAUCCGCAUCUCUCGUCUCUCGGUGCAUCCUGGGUAAUUUGUGCGAGGUUAUUAGCAAUGACAGCAUCGCAGAGCAGAGGGAAGAAGAGAGAGCGAGACUUCUCUUGAUCUACGUGGAGGAUCCGUCUGUUUAGGAAAGAUAACUUAUAUCAUUUCCACUCUGCGACUCCCGUCUAAACGUUGCUUUCUUUUGCUUUCUCGAGCCGGUGAAGAGACGUCAGAGGCUGUUCCACGCCGCUCACCGGCGGCGUUCACGCCACGGUGGUUUUUGGGCAACAGACUGAAGUGGAGCAGCGGUUUGGCUCCAAAUUUCCAGGGACAACUCGUUCCCUCUGACAAAAAAAAUAAAUCAAGUCACGACUUUUGGCAGCGACGGGAGGAAGAAUGCACGAUUCGCCGGUUUAAUCACAGUGACCUCGCGCGUCGCCGCAUCUACACCCGGCCGGAAAAAAAGACGGUAAAGAAGCGGAGAAAGAAACCGGUGCAAAGUAAGGGGAAAUGCACCGUGUGCAACUCUUCACCGAGGGAAUGCUGGGUAAAUGCGCCCGUGCACGGUUGCCGCGGCGGUGGGCCGCGCGAGGGGGCGAGCAGUAAUGGUCUCCGUUGUGUCACCCGCGGGGGGGACCCGGUGCCAUCUGAUAAUGGACUCCCAAGUGGACAUCUGAGAUUAGCGAUUAGCCUCCGUUUAGCGCGGGCCGCGCUCCUCCGGGGCAUCAAAGGACAAGAGUUUGGAGAAAAUUACAGAUUUUGAAGAUAACCUUCUGGCUCUUUCCUUCCCGCGACAGCCUUUAGCGUGAUUGAUCCUUUAAUUGCAGGAGAGCGGGGCGGCCACAGAGAGACGGCCACUCCGCUGACCCUGGGAAAUGGCAAAAUGGAAGCGCUGGGAAUCCACAAAGCACAAAAAUAAAGGCAAAUAAAGGCAUGAGGAGAAGGUGGUUAAAAGGCUGUAAACAGAUACAGAGUUUAUCUAAUUUUCAGUAAUUUACAUAAUGUAACUGAAUUCAUUUCUAUAAUCAGAUCUGUUUUGGUUGUGUGAGGAAACUAUUCGGUUCAACUAGUCAGAAAUGUCAUGUUCAUAUUUAUACAUUCAAUUGAGGGUCCACUCAGGUGCAUGCAAACACAUUUUCACAUAACUCAUUGAGAAGAAUUGGUCAUACGAGUCAUUGUACCAGCUGUACGUACUAAAGUGGUAAUAUUCCAUUUGCUGCCUUCUUUUAAGAUCUUCUUUUAUAAUCAAAAUCUGCACUUUGCUCUGAUUGUAUUAAAAAACUCAUGCUCUUUUCUGAUUAUCUUCUGUCUGAUCCGGGAAACUCCACUGAUUUAAGCCCCGGUGGGGUCAGAGGGCCGACGCUUUUCCAUCACAGGAAAGCUGACGAACAUCAAUCCAGGUGUCACAAAGCCAGACAUUUCACAUUUCACAUUUCAUAUUUCAUAUUUCAUAUUUCACAUUUCAUAUUUCAUAUUUCACAUCCACGACACAGUUCUAAAAAAACAAUAAGGCACAAAGCCUCAACUACUGAAAAACCAGAAGGUUGUUGCUAUGCAACAAUUAAAUAUGUUUAAGGUGUGCUACUCUCAGGUUUACUUUUACCUUUGCCCCCCCCCCCCCUCUCCUGGAAUAAAGACCUCUGGUGAACGUGCAGUUUGUCCUCGCUCCAACCUCGUGCCCAACGCCGUCCUCCGUCUAUAUGAUUGAUAACUGAGGGAAUUUAUUGGGAUUGGGUCUCAGACUGAAGACACAAGGACGUCUCGGAGACGGCUCGGUUGUUUUUUUAUGCCGCUGACAGUUGACGGAGGGCAAAGGGGCGGAGACUAAACGCACGGACGCCUCCCGGUUCGAGAGGGCGUCUCGCCUUGUUUGCCUCCCUUUACCAGGCCGAGUUAUUAACGUACCAGCAGAAAAAACACUUAACUCAUGCCCAUUUAAUUAUGCUAAUGCGAACAUAUACAAUUGACCCGGCUUAGUUAUUAGCCGUCUCAAUUAGGGGACACGCGUGUGGAGGGUUCAGGACGAGAGAUGGAGGGGGGGGCUUGUUUGCAGUCUAGUGGUGAUAACAGAAGCCUUGAGCUGUUUCUGUCAGCGGGCUGGAGAUCCUCUGCGCGAGGAGGAGGCACCAAAUCAAUGUCAUGAGGAGCGCGCCUCUGCAGAUCUGCGUGGACGUGCGAGAUGAGACUCUUUCUGACUUCUCCUAACGUUCUGAGAGGCUGCAGCCGGCAUUUCCCCCGUGAGCGGCGUUACCAAAGAUCAGAGAGCGGCCGUCCGACCGACGGACCACCCUCCUGAGCGUUAACCUUUUAUCGCACGCAAGAUGGAAGUCGUUCAUGAAAGCGGGAUUUUGGAAAGCUUUGCACGUAGGCCGGAGGUAGAACCGUAAACCGGCGAGGGCACGACCGACUCAUAUACGCUGCCUGUCAGAACGCUGUGCCGUGGGGAGUAAAGCCCGUUGCUAUGGGAGUGCUGGUCCACCUCGCGAGGCGCUGUCCCUGGUCCUGAAUCUGAGAGCCGACGGAGGGGAAAAAACAAAUAGGAUUUGGGUCGCUGGCUGGGUUUCCGGGAGGAGCAGAUUGGACUCCGUCUCUCUGAAAGAGUCUCGGCAGGCGGGAGGAGGGGGGGGGCAAGAGGGGCUCCACGCCCCGUCAGCUUCAGAGCUGUCACAUGUGACAGCGUCAUCCACAAAGGGAUGGGGGGGCCUGAAUAAAUCCCUCAGAUGGGUAUAACGCACGAGACGGGAAGGCGCUGGGUGUGUUUGGAGGAGAAUGAUCCCGCUGAUGUUUGUUGAUUAUUGAUAUAUUAAAAAAAAGGAGAGGCGUGGCCUAUUUCAUCAAUCAGAAGCACCUCUACCUGCGGCCUGCGUUUUAACAUCCAGUCCAACUCCCUUGUGAAAGGGCGUGCGACGGGAUGCCGCUCACCCGAGGCCAGCCUCCCUCUCGGGAUCCUGGCUUUCCGCCGGAGCAGAAAAGGCCGGCCAAUCAGAGCGGGCCAGGCGGUGAGUCAGGGAAGGAGCCGCCCGCCGCUCCGGGCAGGAAAACUGUAGCGUCCGCGCGGGCGAGAGAGCGAUCCGGUCACGAGCCUCGCUCACAGAUCUAAUGUCAGAGGUCACACUUCCGUGCUGCAACGUGCCCGAGAGCAGCCGUCUGUUUUCUAAAUGUCGCCUUCCCUCAAUAAGGAAGCAAACACCCGCUGUGACACUGCAAGGUUGUGUCAAGGUCGCCGCGCUGCCGGGAUCCGGAUCCAGCCGUGAGCGGCGUUCGAGGCGCCGUUCGAGGCCCAGAGACGCUCGUUAACUGUUGAUGCGGCGGCUGUCAAUAGCCUGUUGAACGCCCUCCCCGACAACGCCGGCGGGCGCAAAACCUCACGGGCUAAAAGGAUGCAAGUGUUUGUUUUGAAAGAGAUGUGGAGGUGUAUGUGAGGGGCGAGCGGAGCGGUCGGGUCCGCCGUGGCGACGUGCGAAUCCUUUUUUUCCUUUGUCAAUGGAAUCCAUCAGACGGGGGCUUCUCUCACGACACAACAAAAAAAAAAAAAUAGAAUAGUGCAAAUUGUAUUAAGAGGGAGAAGCUUUUGUUCAGCCUGUGGCUUUGUUUGUUGGUCAUAAUGGAAGGGUUGGAAGGAGGGGGGGGGGGCACGACUGGUUUCGGUCAGUCCGGCUCUGGGAUAAUGGGAGCGGAGAGAGUGCAGAAGACAGAAAGCAGCGAUUUGAUUACAGUGUCACGUCCCCCACAAAGGACAACAUGUAUGUACAUACUACUGUCAUCGCCGCGAGGGGACAGCUGUCUCCUCGUACUAUGAUGAACCCCCCCCCCCGACAGUCUGCUUACCCCCGCCUCUCACUCCUGCACAAAACCCCAACGCCGAUCAGAAAAACAAAGUAUGUGUGUGGAGACGUAAAUGGAACUGUGCCGAAAAACAGAGAAAAGUCAGUCUUUUUUUCUUGAAAAAUAAGAAUAAAAAUGUUCACUGUCAUGAAUCGGACUGCAGUCCAAAAAGACGCUACACCUCCUCCUCUCCCUUUGGCACACACACACACACACGGACGCACAUUCACACAUCAAUACCAGCAUGUUCUCUGCGUUCCGACCGGGCACGACUCUAUUGGUUCUGAAACAUAAGCGGGCAACAACCACGUUGCCUUUCCAAGUCUCUUGUUGUGUUCCUCUUACCUGGCAGCACGCUGUCCCCGGGUCCUCUUCACGCCGCUCUCACAAUCUCACAAUCCCCGGCAGGGGAAAGAGGGAGAAAGUUGUGCGUUCGCCGAGGGGACCUCGAUGUGGCACCUCUUUGAGGAGAAAGAAAAAAGAAAAAAAAAAAAACUAAGACAGGCUGGAAUACAAAAAGGAAAAAAAGAGACGUCCUCUUUUUCUCGCAGAGCGGCUCAGGAAGCGAUCGCUCACUCAGCUCCUCAAGCUCGCUGCUCCUUCUCCCUCUCCGUCUCUCUCCCUCCCUCUCACUCCAUAUCUCUCUCUCUCUCUGUCCGUGACACUCGCCUCGUCUCUUCCCUCCCACCUGAUCCAGCCCCCUCCCCCGACUUCUCUCGCUCUCCCUCGCCUGCUCCUCUUCCCGCAGACAAAAUGCACUCAAAGCACAAACACACAAACACACACGCGCCGCUCUCUAAUUCCGCCGCUGUGAGGACCAGCGAGGGGGUUGAAGGUACCAUGAGAGUUUCAUUUCCACACACCGACAAACUUCUUCUCCUUUCUCCUGUGAGGGCGAAAGCGCGUCCUCUCCCCCCCCGCCUCCCUCCCUCCUCCGGUCCCC
ensembl:lncRNA